AACGAACGCUGGCGGCAGGCUUAACACAUGCAAGUCGAGCGCCCCGCAAGGGGAGCGGCAGACGGGUGAGUAACGCGUGGGAACGUACCCUUCUCUGCGGAAUAGCCCCGGGAAACUGGAAUUAAUACCGCAUACGCCCUUUGGGGGAAAGAUUUAUCGGGGAAGGAUCGGCCCGCGUUGGAUUAGCUAGUUGGUGGGGUAAAGGCCUACCAAGGCGACGAUCCAUAGCUGGUCUGAGAGGAUGAUCAGCCACAUUGGGACUGAGACACGGCCCAAACUCCUACGGGAGGCAGCAGUGGGGAAUAUUGGACGAUGGGGGCAACCCUGAUCCAGCCAUGCCGCGUGAGUGAUGAAGGACUUAGGGUUGUAAAGCUCUUUCACCGGUGAAGAUAAUGACGGUAACCGGAGAAGAAGCCCCGGCUAACUUCGUGCCAGCCGCCGCCGUAA
rnacentral:rRNA from 1 species